rnacentral:rRNA from 1 species
UACGUAGGUGGCAAGCGUUGUCCGGAUUUACUGGGCGUAAAGAGCGCGCAGGCGGUCGUUCAAGUCGCGUGUGAAAGCCCCCGGCUCAACUGGGGAGGGUCACGCGAUACUGAUCGACUCGAAGGCAGGAGAGGGUAGUGGAAUUCCCGGUGUAGUGGUGAAAUGCGUAGAUAUCGGGAGGAACACCAGUGGCGAAGGCGGCCAGCUAGACCAGUUCUGACACUGAGGCGCGACAGCGUGGGGAGCAAACAGG